UUUAACAGCGACGAAAAGGCUUGCUAUUUUCAACACCACGCAUUGCGCCGCCUGACAAAACCCACUGAUAUGAAUAAUUGCUGUAUAUUUUUCAAAGAAUAUAUUAAGCACACAUGGUCAAUGAUCAAAAUACAGUUGUCUGACGAAAUUACAGUGUACAGAAUUUAAGUAUUGCUCCCAUUUCACGCAAUUUUGGGACAACCCUUGUAAUGGAUAUUUCCCGACUGUUUUUCAACUAGGAAACAUUUUGCACAUGCUUGCUAUAUUACCAUAUUUUUAUGAACAAAAACAUUGAAAGUAGUACUUGAGCAGACAUGCGCUUAAUGUUUCUGGAAGCAAAAUAUGAAACAAUAAGGCCUUUUUUCCAUUAUUUGCUUAAUUAUGGGGGAAAGCGCAUUUUACUGGUGUCUUAGUGGAAUAACUAUUGGAGAAUGACCACUGAAAAAUACUAUUAUGAUUGACAUUUAAUGUUUAAUGAAGAUAUGAUUUUGAUGUAAUACUGUGUAAAAGUUGGAAAAAAUGGGGGCAGAUAUCUGACUUGAUAAAAUAACGUUCUUGGCAUCGUGCAAAAUAUUUUAAGGUGGUAUGGGACACUUCCAAUUUUUACCUCUCCAAAUAUUUUUAAAAGCUAAUCUUUGGUUAAAUAUUGUAAAAUUUGAAAUUCUAAACCGGUGAAAGUAUUUUAAUUAUAUUGUACUAUAAUCCACAUUAAUAUUGACAGGUUUCCCAUACCACCUUAAAAGAAUUUGUAUGUUUUUUAGUUAACAUUUAUUAACAUGUAUUUUGGUUACUGAUUAAAAUCCAUUAGCACUUUCAGGUUACUAUAGAAUUCUUUUUGUAGAUUGUCAAUGAUAUUUAAAGGUUCAUGGAGUUGUGAUUUUUUUUAAAGAUUUUUUUGUACGUUUAUAAAAUUAUGAAAAUAAUUUCAUAACAUGUUUAGGGACAUAAAUUAUGGUGAGUUCUACAAAACCCAAAAAUUUAAAUGAUUUCACAGACAGUGUCUUUUUUAUGCUUGUUGUGUGCCAUUGAUAUAUGUUUAUUUGAAUAAAAUGACAUAUAAAUGU
rnacentral:sRNA from 1 species